ensembl:misc_RNA 7SK 7SK RNA
AGAUGUGAAGAUGAUCUGAUGCCAACAACUGUCACCCUAUUGAUUGCCAGCUUUGAUUGGGCUCAUCUGCUGGGUGUCCCUUUCCUCCCUUCGGCCCCAUGGGUGUCUCUGAAGAUGACCUUCCCUGAUGAAGGACAGACCGUCUUCCAUCAAGGGUCUAUGAGUAGCCGUGAUACAGAUAGAACACAGGCCAUGAUACAGAUAGAACCUCCAAGAAGCUCUCAAUAGCAGAAGCCCCCUUUCUU